UUUAUUUCUCACGAGUCACGACCUUUUCAAAUUUUCUCAUAGAUCUCAAACUAAAUUAAUCAAUCUUCUCACAAUCCUCUACAGUCUCAUCUCUUCAUCUCUCAUAACCUCUGGUCCUCUGCAAUCUUCUUCUUUAUGGUGAAGUUCAUCACCUUAUCCUUUUGAAACUGUCACUCGUCACCACCACCACCACCACCGCUCGUCACCACCAUCGCCGUCCGACACCACCACCACCGCUCGUCACCACCAUUGCCGUCCGAUACAAUAUACCUCUAUCUCUCUCUGAUUUUGUUUUGAUUUCGAUCCUAUUCUCAAUCUCUCCGCAUAUCACCUCUCUUCUCUCUCAAACUCACCAGUUCUCAAUCAGUCGAUGAAGAUAGGUUUCAGAGAAUUAAAGGCUGGACAAACAGUCUAAGCUUGGAGAAUCAGAGAAAGGUUGUGGAGAAAACAUGAAAAGAGGUGUCGGAAAAGACAUUGCAACGGCGUCGAAGAUGGUAAAGAAGAUAUAGAGGAAAUUGAAGAGUCAAAGUGAGAGAAGAAGAAGUUGAGAAUCUGAAGCUAUGAAGUGACAGAAUAAAUAUGUCGGAGAAGAAGAAGAGUCAGAGAAGUAUGGUUCCAAGCUCGCCAUCGUCCUUACCCUUUCGGUGGCGGCUAAGAUUGAGGAAGAACUUGGUUAGAUUUAGAUAGGUUUAGCUAUAGUAAAUUGGUUUAAUUAGGACUAGUUAAUAAUUAUAAUUUGCAAUUGUAAACUAUAACCAAAUUUUAAUUUUUAAAAAUACAAA